UGUGUACUCCCUCCGUUCCAAAAUACUUGACUUCCAUUUGUCCAAAAAUGGAUGUACCUAUAUACUAAGACAUGUCUAGAUACAUAUAUAUUUUGACAAAUAGAAGGCAUGUAUUGUGCAACGGAGGGAGAAGAAU
rnacentral:pre_miRNA from 1 species